rnacentral:rRNA from 1 species
CAGUAGCCACGGUAAUACAGAGGGUGCGAGCGUUAAUCGGAUUUACUGGGCGUAAAGCGUGCGUAGGCGGCUAAUUGAGUCGGAUGUGAAAUCCCCGAGCUUAACUUGGGAAUUGCAUUCGAUACUGGUUAGCUAGAGUGUGGGAGAGGAUGGUAGAAUUCCAGGUGUAGCGGUGAAAUGCGUAGAGAUCUGGAGGAAUACCGAUGGCGAAGGCAGCCAUCUGGCCUAACACUGACGCUGAGGUACGAAAGCAUGGGGAGCAAACAGGAUUAGAUACCCCUGUAGUCCCUGUCUCUUAUAC